GUCGGCGCCAUUUUGUCUCGGCAGCGGUGGCCGUAGCUCCAUCGCAUUUUAUGUUUCUGGCGAGAAGGGAACGGAGUUUUCAUCAGGUAGAUUGGUUUUUGUGCGGCCGUCCUCCACCGUUUCCUCCAGGACAGCACCUAGUCGUGGCCGGAGGAGUCUCAGAGCUGUCAGAAAGAAUAAGACUGAUUUUAUGGGAAAAUUAAGCAGAUGCUCCAGUUUGAGAAACCUGGAUCUGCGAUCUGUUUGUGAGUGGUAUUCAGUUAAGAGAACAAUUAUUUCGUAUAAGCCACAUCAGAGACGACUGAAGAUGAAAAAACUACCAUCCCCGUAUAUAACUAAUUUGUGCUGUGCACCAACAAGAACCUGCUUUAAAUUUCCAUGGCAAUUUACAACCCCCAUACUGUACCAGGCAAGGUACCAGCAUCAAGAUGAUUUAUGGUAAUAAGAUAUAAAACCAAGGAAAAUAACCUAAAGUCUGAAAAAGACCAGAAUCGAAGUUUCCUGAUUCAUAUUUUAAUGUUUUGAAAUUUAUACUCCAGGCUGGGUGCAGUGGCUUGUGCCUGUAAUCCCAGCACUUUGGGAGGCCGAGGCGGCCGGAUUGCCUGAAGUCAGAAGUUCGAGACCAGCCUGACCAACAUGGUGAAACCCUGUCUCUACUUAAAAAUACAAAAGAGCUGGGCAUGGAGGUGGUGCGCGCCUGUAACCCUAGCUACUCGGGAGGCUGAGGCCUAAGAAUCUCUUGAACCCAGGAGGCAGAGGUUGUAGUGAGCCGGGAUCACGCCACUGCACUCUAGCCUGGGCGACAGAGAGAGAGACUGUCUAAAAAAGGAAAAGAAAAAAAUUUAUACGCCAAAAAAGAUAUUCUGAGAUAACCUGUAGUUACCACUAACUUUGUGACAAAAUUAUAAAAAUCCACAGCCAUCUAUGAAUCUGUAGGCAGACCUGAAGUUUGAACGACUGGUGAAGACAUCUGAUUUUCUUUAUAGCCAAGUUAGGAUAACAAAAUGCAAACAAGUCAUUAAUAUUUACUAUAUGCAAGAUACAGAAAGAUGAAGGAAGGAGUAAGAAGUUAUCCUUCGUGGAACUAUUCAAAGCAAAAAUGCAAAAUACCAGGGAAAGCUUUGAAGAACCAAGAUUUGAGCAGGUUCUUAGAAUAUAGAUUGGAUUGGAUUUGAUUUCAAGAAAGAUGAACGUGUAAAGCAGAAGUGGGAAGCCAAAAACUUUUUUCCAAAUUAGAAUUAAGCAUUCUUUCAAUGAACAUUUGGAAAUCAAGGUAGAAAAAUAUCCCUAGGGCCUAGCUGAGGAGUCUGUAUGUUGUUGGGUUUUGAUAGUAACCAGUCCAAGAUUUUGUUAUUAGACGUGGGUUUCUGAAUAGACAGGCAUUUCUGAACAGACAUGACAGGAUCAAAACAAUGUUUGAGCAAACUGCCCUUCAUCUACUGUGGAUAUGUUGGGGGAUGAUGGAAUAUAGUGAAAGAUAAUGGGUGCUCAUACAGCAGUCUAGACUUAAGGUGAUUCAACUACUAUAUAUUAAACUAGAUUAUCUUUUAUUUUUUAAUUUUGAAAUCUGGAUGCUCAAGCUCUGCCUGCACAACCACAUGAGGAAGAAGGAACAAUGACAACAAAAAUAACACUAAAUUUAAAUUUAAGAGUACUACUUUUAGGAAAUAGACAAACCAUUAUUUGGGUACAACUAAAGGCAACUGGCAUGGACUCAAAUAUUUUGGGGAAGAAAAAGACUAAAAGUUCUAAGGAAGAAAAUGCGAACCUUGAUAGUUUGAAAUAGUUAAAAAGACAGUGUAGAAACUGCUUAGGCAGUUUGAUUAUGGACUAUUAGAUGAUACUUGGGUCUGAUAAUGGUAUAAGGAGAAUAAAGUAUUUAGGGAUCCAAUAUUACGCCUGCAGCUUUUUCCAAAUAGUUCAUGGGGGAGGGGGAUGUGUAAGUGGUUAACUGAAGUCUAACUAGAUAGGUUUGUUGUAAGCUUAGGAUGUUUACAGUUCUUCAUGUUAAGUUGAGCGUGAUGGGAAGGGAAAGAAUGCUGAUCUUUAAAUUUUUGUCCUUAGUUAAGUUCUGUAUUUAGUGAAUUAAUUGCAUCCUAAAAAGUCAAACUUGAAAAGCACAUUUUAAAUGGCAAAUCUAUUUUUUACAUGUUUGUGAAGUUUUUAUUUUUUAGUAAACAGACCAUCAGAAGAGAACAAUGGUACAGAGCAGGGGUCAGCAGAUGGAUUUUGUAAAGCAUCAACUUGUAAAUAUUUUCAAGUUUAUUAGCUGUAUGGCUCUGGUUUCUGUUCCCUGUUCCAAAUGUUAAAGUCUACUGUUGUAUUCUAAAAGCAGCCAUGGACUGAAUGUAGCUGUGUUCCAAUAAAACUUACACAAAAGCAGGCAGUGGGCCAUAAUUUGCAACACCUGAUUCACAGCAUAAUUUUGUCACAAACUGAAAGUGUUCCUCAAUUAAAGUGAUUUUUUUUUCUUGA
rnacentral:lncRNA from 1 species